rnacentral:rRNA from 1 species
UGGGGAAUAUUGGGCAAUGGGGGCAACCCUGACCCAGCGACGCCGCGUGGGGGAAGACGGCCUUCGGGUUGUAACCCUCUUUUGUACGGGAAGAAGGAAGUGACGGUACUGUACGAAUAAGUCCCGGCUAACUACGUGCCAGCAGCCGCGGUAAUACGUAGGGGACGAGCGUUGUCCGGAAUUACUGGGCGUAAGGGGCGCGCAGGCUGUGCUGCAAGUCAGCUGUUAAAUGUCUGGGCUUAACCCGGGCAUGCGGUUGAGACUGCAGUGCUGGAGUGCUGUAGAGGCAAGUGGAAUUCCCAGUGUAGCGGUGAAAUGCGUAGAUAUUGGGAAGAACACCGGUGGCGAAGGCGACUUGCUGGGCAGCAACUGACGCUGAGGCGCGAAAGCCAGGGGAGCAAACGG